UACAGAGGGUGCGAGCGUUGUCCGGAAUCACUGGGCGUAAAGGGCGCGUAGGUGGUGGCUUAAGCGUGCGGUGAAAGCUCGGGGCUCAACUCCGAGUCGGCCGUGCGAACUGGGCUCACUGGAGCAUAGUAGAGGCAGGUGGAAUUCCGGGUGUAGCGGUGGAAUGCGUAGAGAUCCGGAAGAACACCGGUGGUGAAGGCGGCCUGCUGGGCUAUGGCUGACACUGAGGCGCGACAGCGUGGGGAGCAAACAGG
rnacentral:rRNA from 1 species